rnacentral:sRNA from 1 species
UAAUGACAGGUCACAUCAUAUUAAUUAUAUAUAUAUAUAUAUAAUUAAUGUGACGUGACUUGCCAUUA